UUCAUUUGGAGUCGUGUUUCUGUCCACCUGGUGAAUGGGUCAGAGGUCAAGCUGGGAACCCCACGGAGCGACCGACAGAGAAGCCAGAUGUUGAGUCCGAACGAAGGUUUCUUUGUGUAUUCAAUCAUCUUUAUCUCCUGACAUGCUGCUUCUCUCCAGAGCAUCUGUUCAUCUCUUCAGUGUCUCGUUGUGUCAUCAUGUCUCUGCAGUCGAAGCUCUUUCACCUGCAGGUCCCCCCCGACGUUAAUUUCUGCUUAAUGAAUCAGCCCAUUUGCAUAUCAGAUAGAUAAGACAUUAUCCUUUGUUUGAAGACUCCUCUGUGGAAUAAUCGAAUGUGACCGUGCUAAUCCAUCACACACACAGUUUUUCAUAUCUGAUGUUAUAUGUGGAGCGAGGAUUGAGACCUCAGGGCAAAGGAAGCUGAUUUUAUUCAGUUUUCUCCUCUUUCGGUUCCUGCUGAUGCAUUUUAGCCCUGAAACAUGCAACACAGAGAUACACAUGAAAAUACAGUCACAUACGUACACAGUAUGUAUGCAUGUGGUUCAA